GAUGAACGCUAGCGGGAGGCCUAACACAUGCAAGCCGAGCGGUAUUUCUUCUUCGGAAGAGAGAGAGCGGCGUACGGGUGCGGAACACGUGUGCAACCUGCCUUUAUCUAGAGGAUAGCCUUUCGAAAGGAAGAUUAAUACUCUAUAAUAUAUUAAUUGGCAUCAAUUGAUAUUGAAAACUCCGGUGGAUAGAGAUGGGCACGCGCAAGAUUAGCUAGUUGGUGAGGUAACGGCUCACCAAGGCAAUGAUCUUUAGGGGGCCUGAGAGGGUGAUCCACCACACUGGUACUGAGACACGGACCAGACUCCUACGGGAGGCAGCAGUGAGGAAUAUUGGUCAAUGGGUGCAAGCUUGAACCAGCCAUCCCGCGUGAAGGAUUAAGGUCCUAUGGAUUGUAAACUUCUUUUGUAUAGGGAUAAACCUACCCUCGUGAGGGUAGCUGAAGGUACUAUACGAAUAAGCACCGGCUAACUCCGUGCCAGCCGCCGCCGUAACAC
rnacentral:rRNA from 1 species